GAGGGUAACAGCUCAGUGGUAGAGCGCGUGCUUAGCAUGCAUGAGGUCCUGAGUUCAAUCCCUGGUACUCCCA
rnacentral:tRNA from 1 species